UGGUGUGGGUACAUCCAUGCCCUUCACUGAGGUCAAUGACACCCACAUGUUGUCAGGUGAUGCCUGCAACCCACUCCAGUAGGUUCGUUCAACCUGCCUCUGGUCUUCAAGAAGAGGUGAAGAGACCCAACAAUGUGGAGCUUCCAGCCGGGUAAUCUUUCAGCCUGGGAGGAAGAGGAAGGAAGUUGAUGAAAGCUGGGGAUCUCAGACGCAUGCAACGGAGAUGCUCCCUUAUCCUCAAGCGACACAGGCUUCCUUCAGUUUGGUACAGAAGGAAACUUGGUCAGUGUAGUCCAGCAUGAUGCGCACCACCUGAG